GAUGAACGCUGGCGGCGUGCUUAACACAUGCAAGUCGAACGGGAAACAUUUUAUUGAAGCUUCGGCAGAUUUAGUUUGUUUCUAGUGGCGGACGGGUGAGUAACGCGUGGGUAACCUGCCUUAUACAGGGGGAUAACAGUUAGAAAUGGCUGCUAAUACCGCAUAAGCACACAGGGCCGCAUGGCCCGGUGUGAAAAACUCCGGUGGUAUAAGAUGGACCCGCGUCUGAUUAGCUGGUUGGUGGGGUAACGGCUCACCAAGGCGACGAUCCGUAGCUGGUUUGAGAGGACGACCAGCCACACUGGGACUGAGACACGGCCCAG
rnacentral:rRNA from 1 species